rnacentral:rRNA from 1 species
GACGAACGCUGGCGGCGUGCUUAACACAUGCAAGUCGAACGGAAAGGCCCUGCUUUUGUGGGGUGCUCGAGUGGCGAACGGGUGAGUAACACGUGAGUAACCUGCCCUUGACUUUGGGAUAACUUCAGGAAACUGGGGCUAAUACCGGAUAGGAGCUCCUGCUGCAUGGUGGGGGGUGGAAAGUUUCGGCGGUUGGGGAUGGACUCGCGGCUUAUCAGCUUGUUGGUGGGGUAGUGGCUUACCAAGGCUUGGACGGGUAGCCGGCCUGAGAGGGUGACCGGCCACAUUGGGACUGAGAUACGGCCCAGCCUCCUACGGGAGGCAGCAGUGGGGAAUAUUGCACAAUGGGCGGAAGCAUGAUGCAGCAACGCCGCGUGCGGGAUGACGGCCUUCGGGUUGUAAACCGCUUUCGCCUGUGACGAAGCGUGAGUGACGGUAAUGGGUAAAGAAGCACCGGCUAACUACGUG